CCGUUUGUUCUGGUUUGCUUGCAUCCUGACCCUUCACUGCUUUGUUUUUGUUUUCAUUUUUCCUCUUCCUCCUCCAUCACUGUCACCACCAUGCUGCAGAUGAGCUUCAGUGCCUGGAACGUGCUUCUCCGGUGCUGCACCACGGAUCUAUACCGCUACCCCACACCCUUCUUCUUAACAGUAUAUGCGUCACCGUUAGCAAAGUCUAUCUCCCCUUCCUACAUCGCCUCCUUACUCACAGUCCAACAAACGAUUUUUUUCCUGAGACAAGAUUUUAGUAUGUACAUAGCCUAGGCUGGCAGUGAAAUUGCCAUCCUGGUUCA
rnacentral:lncRNA from 1 species